UACGAAGGGGGCUAGCGUUGCUCGGAAUUACUGGGCGUAAAGCGCGUGUAGGCGGUUCGAUUAGUCUGCUGUGAAAGUCGGGGGCUCAACCCUCGAAUGCCGGUGGAUACUGUCGGGCUAGAGUGCGGAAGAGGCGAGUGGAAUUCCUGGUGUAGCGGUGAAAUGCGCAGAGUAUCGGGAGGAACACCUGUGGCGAAAGCGGCGCACUGGACCACAACUGACGCUGGAGGCGACGAAAGCUAGGGGAGGCAAACAGG
rnacentral:rRNA from 1 species